rnacentral:pre_miRNA from 1 species
CUUCAAGUUACCUGAGCAUCUUGUUAAAAUUCAGAUUCUGAUUCAGUUGGUUUAGGUUGGGGCCAGAGAUUCUGUAAUUCUAGCAAGCUCUUAGGUGAUGAUGGU